GACAGAGGGUGCAAACGUUGUUCGGAAUUACUGGGCGUAAAGGGCGCGUAGGCGGCGGUGUAAGUUGGAAGUGAAAUCCCAUCGGCUCAACCGUGGAAUUGCUCCCAGUACUGCAUCGCUCGAGGGGGAUAGGGGUUUGCGGAACUACCGGUGGAGCGGUGAAAUGUGUUGAUAUCGGUGGGAACGCCAGUGGCGAAAGCGGCAAACUUGACCCUUCCUGACGCUGAGGCGCGAAAGCUAGGGGAGCAAACGGG
rnacentral:rRNA from 1 species